AACGCAGCGAACUGCGAUAAGUAAUGUGAAUUGCAGAAUUCAGUGAAUCAUCGAGUCUUUGAACGCACAUUGCGCCCCCUGGCAUUCCGGGGGGCAUGCCUGUCCGAGCGUCAUU
rnacentral:rRNA from 2 species